UACGAAGGGGGCUAGCGUUGCUCGGAAUCACUGGGCGUAAAGGGUGCGUAGGCGGGUCUUUAAGUCAGGGGUGAAAUCCUGGAGCUCAACUCCAGAACUGCCUUUGAUACUGAGGAUCUUGAGUCCGGGAGAGGUGAGUGGAACUGCGAGUGUAGAGGUGAAAUUCGUAGAUAUUCGCAAGAACACCAGUGGCGAAGGCGGCUCACUGGCCCGGUACUGACGCUGAGGCACGAAAGCGUGGGGAGCGAACCGG
rnacentral:rRNA from 1 species